rnacentral:rRNA from 1 species
UACGUAGGGUGCAAGCGUUAAUCGGAAUUACUGGGCGUAAAGCGUGCGCAGGCGGUUUUGUAAGUCUGACGUGAAAUCCCCGGGCUCAACCUGGGAAUUGCGUUGGAGACUGCAAGGCUAGAAUCUGGCAGAGGGGGGUAGAAUCCCACGUGUAGCAGUGAAAUGCGUAGAGAUGUGGAGGAACACCGAUGGCGAAGGCAGCCCCCUGGGUCAAGAUUGACGCUCAUGCACGAAAGCGUGGGGAGCAAACAGG